GACGAACGCUGGCGGCGUGCUUAACACAUGCAAGUCGAGCGAGUGGAUUCCCUUCGGGGAUGAAGCUAGCGGCGGACGGGUGAGUAACACGUGGGCAACCUGCCUUAUAGAGGGGGAUAGCCUUCCGAAAGGAAGGUUAAUACCGCAUAACAUCAGAUUAUCGCAUGGUAGACUGAUCAAAGGAGCAAGCCGCUAUAAGAUGGGCCCGCGUCGCAGUAGCUAGUUGGUGAGGUAACGGCUCACCAAGGCGACGAUGCGUAGCCGACCUGAGAGGGUGAUCGGCCACAUUGGGACUGAGACACGGCCCAGACUCCUACGGGAGGCAGCAGUGGGGAAUAUUGCACAAUGGGGGAAACCCUGAUGCAGCAACGCCGCGUGAGUGAUGAAGGCCUUCGGGUUGUAAAGCUCUUUGAUCAGGGACGAUAAUGACGGUACCUGAAGAACAAGCCACGGCUAACUACGUGCCAGCAGCCGCAGUAAAAC
rnacentral:rRNA from 1 species